AUUCUGUAGCAAGGUUAACCGUAUAGGGGAGCCGCAGGGAAACCGAGUCUUAACCGGGCGUUAAGUUGCAGGGUAUAGACCCGAAACCCGGUGAUCUAGCCAUGGGCAGGUUGAAGGUUGGGUAACACUAACUGGAGGACCGAACCGACUAAUGUUGAAAAAUUAGCGGAUGACCUGUGGCUGGGGGUGAAAGGCCAAUCAAACCGGGAGAUAGCUGGUUCUCCCCGAAAGCUAUUUAGGUAGCGCCUCGUGAAUUCAUCUCCGGGGGUAGAGCACUGUUUCGGCUAGGGGGCCAUCCCGGCUUACCAACCCGAUGCAAACUGCGAAUACCGGAGAAUGUUAUCACGGGAGACACACGGCGGGUGCUAACGUCCGUCGUGAAGAGGGAAACAACCCAGACCGCCAGCUAAGGUCCCAAAGUCAUGGUUAAGUGGGAAACGAUGUGGGAAGGCCCAGACAGCCAGGAUGUUGGCUUAGAAGCAGCCAUCAUUUAAAGAAAGCGUAAUAGCUCACUGGUCGAGUCGGCCUGCGCGGAAGAUGUAACGGGGCUAAACCAUGCAC
rnacentral:rRNA from 1 species